GCGCGAAAACUAUAAAAUGCUGGCAACAGCGAUAAGGGAACCUCGAGUGCCAGGUUACAAAUCUGGCUGUCGAGAUGCCUAAAAAGCAUUUCAUAGCAAGGGCCGGGCAAGACCGGUGCCAGCCGCCGCGGUAACACCGGCGGCUCGAGUGGUAACCGUUAUUAUUGGGUCUAAAGGGUCUGUAGCCGGCCGGAUAAGUCUCUUGAGAAAUCUGGCAGCUUAACUGUCAGGCUUUCAGGAGAUACUGUCUGGCUCGAGGCCGGGAGAGGUGAGAGGUACUUCAGGGGUAGGGGUGAAAUCUUGUAAUCCUUGAAGGACCACCAGUGGCGAAGACGUCUCACCAGGACGGAUCUGACGGCAAGGGACGAGAGCUAGGGGCACGAUCC
rnacentral:rRNA from 1 species